rnacentral:rRNA from 1 species
GAUGAACGCUGGCGGCGUGCCUAAUACAUGCAAGUCGAGCGAACGGACGAGAAGCUUGCUUCUCUGAUGUUAGCGGCGGACGGGUGAGUAACACGUGGCUAACCUACCUAUAAGACUGGGAUAACUUCGGGAAACCGGAGCUAAUACCGGAUGAUAUUUUGAACCGCAUGGUUCAAAAGUGAAAGACGGUCUUGCUGUCACUUAUAGAUGGAUCCGCGCUGCAUUAGCUAGUUGGUAAGGUAACGGCUUACCAAGGCAACGAUGCAUAGCCGACCUGAGAGGGUGAUCGGCCACACUGGAACUGAGACACGGUCCAGACUCCUACGGGAGGCAGCAGUAGGGAAUCUUCCGCAAUGGGCGAAAGCCUGACGGAGCAACGCCGCGUGAGUGAUGAAGGUCUUCGGAUCGUAAAACUCUGUUAUUAGGGAAGAACAUAUGUGUAAGUAACUGUGCACAUCUUGACGGUACCUAAUCAGAAAGCCACGGCUAACUACGUG